AGGCAAACCGGGAGAACUGAAACAUCUAAGUACCCCGAGGAAAAGAAAUCAACCGAGAUUUUGUCAGUAGCGGCGAGCGAAAGCGAAAGAGCCAGCAAGUGAUAGCAGCAAAGACAGAAGAAUUGGCUGGGAAGCCAAGCGACACAGGGUGAUAGCCCCGUAUUUUAAGUUUAUGUUGUGGUACUAAACUUGCAACAAGUAGGGCGGGACACGAGAAAUCCUGUUUGAAGAUGGGGGGACCAUCCUCCAAGGCUAAAUACUCCUGAUUGACCGAUAGUGAACCAGUACUGUGAAGGAAAGGCGAAAAGAACCCCAGUGAGGGGAGUGAAAUAGAACCUGAAACCGUGUACGUACAAGCAGUGGGAGCCCUUUUGGGUGACUGCGUACCUUUUGUAUAAUGGGUCAGCGACUUAUAUUUUGUAGCGAGGUUAACUGAAUAAGGGAGCCGAAGGGAAACCGAGUCUUAACUGGGCGGAUAGUUGCAAGGUAUAGACCCGAAACCCGGUGAUCUAGCCAUGGGCAGGUUGAAGGUUGGGUAACACUAACUGGAGGACCGAACCGACUAAUGUUGAAAAAUUAGCGGAUGACUUGUGGCUGGGGGUGAAAGGCCAAUCAAACCGGGAGAUAGCUGGUUCUCCCCGAAAUCUAUUUAGGUAGAGCCUUAUGUGAAUACCUUCGGGGGUAGAGCACUGUUUCGGCUAGGGGUCCAUCC
rnacentral:rRNA from 1 species